GCUGAGUAAGAACUUGGGCAAUGUAGUGAACUCUGAGCCUGCUUUUUCUCCUCUGUAAGGUGGGCACAGCAGCACUAACCUCAUUGUUGCCGUGAGAGCUUGUAAUCCAUCUAUGUGAUGCGCAUGGGUGAGAGUCCAGAGGAGCUUGUUCUCCCUCCCUGCCUUUCCCACUCUCAUAGCCGAGUGAGGCUAAGGGUCUUGGAAGCAGAGUCUGUAACUGAGUGUGGGGCUAAGAGGGAUCUCUUCUGUAUCUGAGGGAACCACAGUGGCCCACUGAGAAAAUCUGGCUUCUGGCCAAGGGGGGACCUGAAGAUGUGAAGAUUAUGGCCCUGUCACAUCAUGUUUGGACUGCCAUAUCAGUUACCUCAUGGCCUCUCCAGCUUCCUGUUCCUUCCAGUCCAUUCCCCAUACUUAAUGCCUUCUUUAACAAUAGGAUAAAGCCUUUAGCUUAGUGUUUAGGAUCCAAUCUAGCUACCCCAUCUCCACAACAGUCCUCCAUAUGUGUAGUCAGAUAUUCCUUAACAGGCCAUAGUGUUUAUAUCUCUGUGUGCCUCCCUUUGCCUAAAAAGCUAUUUCUCUUCUUUGAAACAAC
rnacentral:lncRNA from 1 species